rnacentral:tRNA from 1 species
GGCCCCGUAGUUCAAUGGAUAGNNGGAUAGAACGGAAGUUUCCUAAACUUUAAAUAUAGGUUCGAUUCCUAUCGGGGCUACCU